rnacentral:rRNA from 1 species
UUCCGGUUGAUCCCGCCGGACCUGACUGCUAUCGGAUUGAUACUAAGCCAUGUGAGUCAUUGUAGCAAUACAAGGCAGACGGCUCAGUAACACGUAGCCAACCUACCCUAUGGACGGGGAUAACCUCGGGAAACUGAGGAUAAACCCCGAUAGAUCAUUAUACCUGGAACGGUUUAUGGUCCAAAUGAUUCGUCGCCGUAGGAUGGGACUGCGGCCUAUCAGCUUGUUGGUGAGGUAAUGGCCCACCAAGGCUAUUACAGGUACGGGCUCUGAGAGGAGAAGCCCGGAGAUGGGUACUGAGACACGGACCCAGGCCCUAUGGGGCGCAGCAGGCGAGAAAACUUUGCAAUGUGCGCAAGCACGACAAGGUUAAUCCGAGUGUUUCCUGCUAAAGGAAUCUUUUGCUAGUCCUAAAAACACUAGCGAAUAAGGGGUGGGCAAGUUCUGGUGUCAGCCGCCGCGGUAAAACCAGCACCUCAAGUGGUCAGGAGGAUUAUUGGGCCUAAAGCAUCCGUAGCCUGCUCUGUAAGUUUCCGGUUAAAUCCAUUAGCUUAACUGAUGGGCCGCCGGAAAAACUGCAAAGCUAGGGAGUGGGAGAGGUAGACGGUACUCGGUAGGAAGGGGUAAAAUCCUUUGAUCUAUUGAUGACCACCUGUGGCGAAGGCGGUCUACCAGAACACGUUCGACGGUGAGGGAUGAAAGCUGGGGGAGCAAACCGGAUUAGAUACCCGGGUAGUCCCAGCUGUAAACGAUGCAGACUCGGUGAUGCCCUGCUUGUGGCCAGUGCAGUGCCGCAGGAAGCCGUUAAGUUUGCCGCCUGGGAAGUACGUACGCAAGUAUGAAACUUAAAGGAAUUGGCGGGGGAGCACCACAAGGGUGAAGCCUGCGGUUCAAUUGGAGUCAACGCCGGAA